rnacentral:tRNA from 1 species
GGGCCCGUAGCUCAGUCCGGUUGGUAGAGCAACUGGCUUUUAACCAGUUGGUCGGGGGUUCGAUCCUCCGAGCAUCCCCCCGGGCCCG